GGGCACAUGGUGUAGUUGGUUAUCACAUCCGCUUAGCAUGUACUUGUAUGUGUAGCAUCUUCUGCGGGGGGUGCUGGGUUCAAUUCCCAGUGUGUCCA